rnacentral:rRNA from 1 species
GAUGAACGCUGGCGGCGUGCCUAAUACAUGCCAGUCGAGCGAACGGACGAGAAGCUUGCUUUUCUGAUGUUAGCGGCGGACGGGUGAGUAACACGUGGAUAACCUACCUAUAAGACUGGGAUAACUUCGGGAAACCGGAGCUAAUACCGGAUAAUAUUUUGAACCGCAUGGUUCAAAAGUGAAAGACGGUCUUGCUGUCACUUAUAGAUGGAUCCGCGCUGCAUUAGCUAGUUGGUAAGGUAACGGCUUACCAAGGCAACGAUGCAUAGCCGACCUGAGAGGGGGGUGGGCCACACUGGAACUGAGACACGGUCCAGACUACUACGGGAGGCAGCAGUAGGGAAUCUUCCGCAAUGGGCGAAAGCCUGACGGAGCAACGCCGCGUGAGUGAUGAAGGUCUUCGGAUCGUAAAACUCUGUUAUUAGGGAAGAACAUAUGUGUAAGUAACUGUGCACAUCUUGACGGUACCUAAUCAGAAAGCCACGGCUAACUACGUG